rnacentral:lncRNA from 1 species
GGUCGCCGAGGCUCGCCCCUCCUUGCAAGGCUGCUCCAGAGCUAGCGGGCACGCGAGCUCCUCUCCGGGAGCUUCCUUCCCCGAAAGGCCGGGACCCAGUGGCGGACUCGUGGUGAGCGAGGCAGCACCUUCGAUCCCAGGAGAUUGACCUGUUCUUAAAAGUGAAAGAAGAAAUCUGUGUACUUUAUUGUCGGCUUCCAAAGAUUACUAACUUUUAUCUGUAUCACUAAAAUUAAAUUACCUUGGCUAUACUGCUACUCUUACUGCUGCUUCCGUUACUGCCUUCUCCAGAAACCUAAGGCUUUAAGAAGCCAAAGAAUAACAGCAUAUAAGCACCAUAGUAGAAGCCUUGCCACUAUGAAACUUAAGCUAAAUGUGCUCACCAUUGUAUUGCUGCC